rnacentral:rRNA from 1 species
UACGUAGGGUGCAAGCGUUAAUCGGAAUACUGGGCGUAAAGCGUGCGCAGGCGGUUCUAUAAGACAGAUGUGAAAUCCCCGGGCUCAACCCUGGGAACUGGCAUUUGUGACUGUAGAGCUGGAGUGCGGCAGAGGGGGAUGGAAUUCCGCGUGUAGCAGUGAAAUGCGUAGAUAUGCGGAGGAACACCGAUGGCGAAGGCAAUCCCCUGGGCCUGCACUGACGCUCAUGCACGAAAGCGUGG